CCCUUAGAUGUUCUGGGCGGCCCGCGCACUACAAUGGCGUGUACAGCGAGUGCCGAAGUAGAGUUUUCCGAGGUAUUCUUGCAAUGCUCGUUUUGAUGGGGAUAGACCCUUGCAACUGUUGGUUUUGAACGAGGAAUUCCUUGUAAGCAUGGUUUAUCAUCCGACGCUGAAUGCGUCCCUGCCCUUUGUACACACCGCCCGUCGCUCCUACCGAUUGAAUGCUCAGGUGAGCCAUUCGGACUUUCAUCAUGCUGGUUUCCAGUUUUGAUGAAGGAAAGUCUUGCGAACCUUAUCAUUUAGAGGAAGGAGAAGUCGUAACA
rnacentral:rRNA from 1 species